AUGAUAUAAUUUAUUAUAAAAAAAGAAAUGUGUGUCAAAGGAUAUUGAAUCUGUAAGUAAAGAAAUUAUUAUGUAGAGAGACUGGAAAUCCGGCUGACGAAUUUACUCGUCUUUCUUGCUUAAGGGGGCAUUCUCCUGUGAACGUUGCAAAAUUUAACAGUUUUCACAUGAUAUUUUUUACAUGACAGUGGUAGAAUCUUUUCAGAUACAAUUUUUAAACAAGUGAUUAUCGCGGGCGAGAUAAAACCGAGAAACAAUUAAAACUGUAUAAAAAGUACUAAAUAAAGUAUGGAAAAGAUUGUAACGUUAGACGUAUCAUUGCUUUAAAAAGCAUUCAUGAGAAUUAUUAAAUUUUGCCACUUUCGCAGGAGAAUGUUCCUUUAACUGGUUAAAAAUGGCAAUAAAUAAUAGAAAAAUACUGAAUAUCGAAAUUGGAAUUAUUCUCUUACAUCAGAGAGAAACAAAAUAUUCCAUACGGUAUAAGGAAGCCUAAUUACGUAAACGAGUGAAUAAUCCCGUACAAUUAAGUACAUACGUAUACGUAUACGUGUAUGCAUUUACUCAUCUAGACACGUAAACUCUCAAAGGAAACUUUCAUACAUCAACGCAAACAAAUCAAUAAGAAUCUUUUGAAUUUGCCUAAUCAUGUAGAAUUUUCCAUCAUGUUCGUUCGAGCGAUGAAAAUGAUGCUCAUUAAAGACAUUUUUCUGUUAUAAAUGAAGCAGUUUUCUAUUAACGAAGGCCAAUAUCACGAGUUCUAGGUACUAACUAUUAUGACGUUUGCGAACGUGACGUUGACAUCAUCAAAAUUUCCACAAAGACCAGCAGCAAAGAAUGAAAUUCCUACCGCGUUAUGUGCGAAGAUGGAAAACUUCGAUUCAUUGUUUAAAGGCAUGGGUGAGAAAAAUUAAGCUGCUAUCUGAGAUACAUGGAACAUAGUUAAUGAAAAUAAUGGAAAAUUAUAUGUUUUUGACAAAGUUUACAUUUAAAUAACACAGUAUCGUUGUAUAUAUCUUUCAUUGUAAAAGGUAAAUAGGACAUACAAUUUAAAUAUUUGUGUUUCAUUCAUAAUGUUAUCAUUAUUCAUAUGUUAUG
rnacentral:lncRNA from 1 species